AUGCAAAAUUGGAUGCUACAUCAGAUGUACGGAGGUGCCGGAACUCAGUUCGGCAUGCCGCCUUUUCAACAACCCCCUAUCAUCACACAUCCGGUGUCUGGACAAUCAUCGGACCGCUCCACUGCAGCGGCGGAUGGAUCACAGGGUUCUGCAACUUCUGUCCAAGACCAAUUGAUGCCAUCGGGUGUGAUAGGAGGGCAAAUGAUGCCAUGGGCACCUCGCCAGCCAGGCAUUUGG